rnacentral:misc_RNA from 1 species
UUUGGUUUGGUUGAGAUUGAAUCUCUUUUCGGCCUGUGUUUUUUCCACUUCAUUUUUCGAAGUUCGGUGAUCCAAGAUGGGACUUCACAGCCUGAGGCGGACAUAACAUUGGCUAUAUUUCGCAGAAAUGGAAUGUCCUCGUCUGUAUAAAAUGUAAUGGCUUCUCCACUCCUCCCUGCUCUGCCAGAACGGCCAAUCCGGUGAAUGUAUGCCGCCGCAGA